UACAUAGGGGGCAAGCGUUAUUCGGAAUUAUUGGGCGUAAAGGGCGCGUAGGCGGCGAUUCAAGUGACGGGUGAAAUCCCUCGGCUUAACCGAGGAACUGCCUGUCAGACUGGAUUGCUUGAGGCCGGGAGAGGCGAGUGGAAUUCCCAGUGUAGCGGUGAAAUGCGUAGAUAUUGGGAGGAACACCAGUGGCGAAGGCGGCUCGCUGGACCGGUUCUGACGCUGAGGCGCGAAAGCGUGGGGAGCAAACAGG
rnacentral:rRNA from 1 species